GACGAACCGUCCAAACGUUAUUCGGAAUCACUGGGCUUACAGAGUUCGUAGGCGGUCUGGAAAGUUGGGUGUGAAAUCCCUCGGCUCAACCGAGGAACUGCGCUUGAAACUACCAGACUCGAGGGAGAUAGAGGAAAGCGGAACUGAUGGUGGAGCGGUGAAAUGCGUUGAUAUCAGCAGGAACACCGGUGGCGAAGGCGGCUUUCUGGGUCGUACCUGACGCUGAGGAACGAAAGCGAGGGGAGCGAACGGG
rnacentral:rRNA from 1 species